rnacentral:rRNA from 1 species
GAAACCCGGUGAUCUAGCCAUGGGCAGGUUGAAGGUUGGGUAACACUAACUGGAGGACCGAACCGACUAAUGUUGAAAAAUUAGCGGAUGACUUGUGGCUGGGGGUGAAAGGCCAAUCAAACCGGGAGAUAGCUGGUUCUCCCCGAAAGCUAUUUAGGUAGCGCCUCGUGAAUUCAUCUCCGGGGGUAGAGCACUGUUUCGGCAAGGGGGUCAUCCCGACUUACCAACCCGAUGCAAACUGCGAAUACCGGAGAAUGUUAUCACGGGAGACACACGGCGGGUGCUAACGUCCGUCGUGAAGAGGGAAACAACCCAGACCGCCAGCUAAGGUCCCAAAGUCAUGGUUAAGUGGGAAACGAUGUGGGAAGGCCCAGACAGCCAGGAUGUUGGCUUAGAAGCAGCCAUCAUUUAAAGAAAGCGUAAUAGCUCACUGGUCGAGUCGGCCUGCGCGGAAGAUGUAACGGGGCUAAACCAUGCACCGAAGCUGCGGCAGCGACACUAUGUGUUGUUGGGUAGGGGAGCGUUCUGUAAGCCUGUGAAGGUGGCCUGUGAGGGUUGCUGGAGGUAUCAGAAGUGCGAAUGCUGACAUAAGUAACGAUAAAGCGGGUGAAAAGCCCGCUCGCCGGAAGACCAAGGGUUCCUGUCCAACGUUAAUCGGGGCAGGGUGAGUCGACCCCUAAGGCGAGGCCGAAAGGCGUAGUCGAUGGGAAACAGGUUAAUAUUCCUGUACUUGGUGUUACUGCGAAGGGGGGACGGAGAAGGCUAUGUUGGCCGGGCGACGGUUGUCCCGGUUUAAGCGUGUAGGCUGGUUUUCCAGGCAAAUCCGGAAAACCAAGGCUGAGGCGUGAUGACGAGGCACUACGGUGCUGAAGCGACAAAUGCCCUGCUUCCAGGAAAAGCCUCUAAGCAUCAGGUAACAUCAAAUCGUACCCCAAACCGACACAGGUGGUCAGGUAGAGAAUACCAAGGCGCUUGAGAGAACUCGGGUGAAGGAACUAGGCAAAAUGGUGCCGUAACUUCGGGAGAAGGCACGCUGAUAUGUAGGUGAAGCGACUUGCUCGUGGAGCUGAAAUCAGUCGAAGAUACCAGCUGGCUGCAACUGUUUAUUAAAAACACAGCACUGUGCAAACACGAAAGUGGACGUAUACGGUGUGACGCCUGCCCGGUGCCGGAAGGUUAAUUGAUGGGGUUAGCGGCAACGCGAAGCUCUUGAUCGAAGCCCCGGUAAACGGCGGCCGUAACUAUAACGGUCCUAAGGUAGCGAAAUUCCUUGUCGGGUAAGUUCCGACCUGCACGAAUGGCGUAAUGAUGGCCAGGCUGUCUCCACCCGAGACUCAGUGAAAUUGAACUCGCUGUGAAGAUGCAGUGUACCCGCGGCAAGACGGAAAGACCCCGUGAACCUUUACUAUAGCUUGACACUGAACAUUGAGCCUUGAUGUGUAGGAUAGGUGGGAGGCUUUGAAGUGUGGACGCCAGUCUGCAUGGAGCCGACCUUGAAAUACCACCCUUUAAUGUUUGAUGUUCUAACGUUGGCCCGUAAUCCGGGUUGCGGACAGUGUCUGGUGGGUAGUUUGACUGGGGCGGUCUCCUCCUAAAGAGUAACGGAGGAGCACGAAGGUUGGCUAAUCCUGGUCGGACAUCAGGAGGUUAGUGCAAUGGCAUAAGCCAGCUUGACUGCGAGCGUGACGGCGCGAGCAGGUGCGAAAGCAGGUCAUAGUGAUCCGGUGGUUCUGAAUGGAAGGGCCAUCGCUCAACGGAUAAAAGGUACUCCGGGGAUAACAGGCUGAUACCGCCCAAGAGUUCAUAUCGACGGCGGUGUUUGGCACCUCGAUGUCGGCUCAUCACAUCCUGGGGCUGAAGUAGGUCCCAAGGGUAUGGCUGUUCGCCAUUUAAAGUGGUACGCGAGCUGGGUUUAGAACGUCGUGAGACAGUUCGGUCCCUAUCUGCCGUGGGCGCUGGAGAACUGAGGGGGGCUGCUCCUAGUACGAGAGGACCGGAGUGGACGCAUCACUGGUGUUCGGGUUGUCAUGCCAAUGGCACUGCCCGGUAGCUAAAUGCGGAAGAGAUAAGUGCUGAAAGCAUCUAAGCACGAAACUUGCCCCGAGAUGAGUUCUCCCUGAGACUUAGAGUCUCCUGAAGGAACGUUGAAGACGACGACGUUGAUAGGCCGGGUGUGUAAGCGCAGCGAUGCGUUGAGCUAACCGGUACUAAUGAACCGUGAGGCUUAACCUUACAACGCCGAAG